UACGGAGGGUGCAAGCGUUAAUCGGAAUUACUGGCGUAAAGCGCACGCAGGUGGCUGAGUCAGUCGAUUGUGAAAGCCCUGGGCUUAACCUGGGAAUUGCAGUCGAUACUACGUCAGCUAGAGUAUGGGAAGAGGGUAGUGGAAUUCCCGGUGUAGCGGUGAAAUGCGUAGAUAUCUGGAGGAACACCGGUGGCGAAGGCGGCAUCCUGGACCGGCAGUGACGCUGAGGCGCGGAAAGCCAGGG
rnacentral:rRNA from 1 species